rnacentral:rRNA from 1 species
UACGGAGGGUGCAAGCGUUAUCCGGAUUUACUGGGUUUAAAGGGUGUGUAGGCGGGUCUUUAAGUCAGGGGUGAAAUCCUGGAGCUCAACUCCAGAACUGCCUUUGAUACUGAGGAUCUUGAGUUCGGGAGAGGUGAGUGGAACUGCGAGUGUAGAGGUGAAAUUCGUAGAUAUUCGGAGGAACACCAGUGGCGAAGGCGGCUCACUGGUCCAUUACUGACGCUGAGGUGCGAAAGCGUGGGGAGCAAACAGG